rnacentral:rRNA from 1 species
UACUACAACCUGGUUGAUCCUGCCAGUAAUAUAUGCUUGUCUCAAAGAUUAAGCCAUGCACAUGUAAGAYCGGCAUAGGUUUCUACUUCGGUAGUCACUCAUUGUUAAUCUGUGAACGGCUCAUUAUAACAGUUAUACUCGUAGCCACUGGUACGUAGGCGCAAGCGAUAAGGAUAACAUUGUCAAAUGCAGCGAUAAUACUUGAUAGACGGACCGGUUCACGCCGGUUGGCAUUAGCGUACUUAUCUCACGAUCGUGAGGAAACCGCGCUACUGUGACUCUUGGCUAACUGUGGUUCUCCAUAAGUGGCCGGAGCGUCGACCAUCAGACGUGUGCAAACACACACGGUUCUUUAAAUAGGGUUUUAAUAAGGCUCUGUUUUUUUAGCUGUGCUGGUGGCCAGGAAGACGAAUUUCUUAUCUAUCAGCUGAAGUUGUCUCAAUAGGGGUGAGACACGGCGAUUACGGAUUCGGAGAAUCAGUGUUUGAUUCCGGAGAGGGAGCCUUAAAAAUGGCUACUACAUCUAAGGACGGCAGCAGGCGCGAAAAUUGCCCAAUCUCAAUUCGAGGAGGCAGUGACAAGAAAUAACAGCUCUCCACCAUCUGGUGGGAGGUACUAUUCAUAGUUUGGAAUGAUUUUAGAUUAAAAUUCUAUUAAAAAUGACUAGAGGAAGAGUCUGGUGCCAGCACCCGCGGUAAUUCCAGCUCUAGUAGCGUAUGUUAAUACUGUUGUAGUUAAAACGCUCGUAGUUGGCCUAAGGGCUAUGUGUUUUGUGUUCGGUGUCUGUUUAUCUCUAUGGGCUAACAUGUUAUAAUGUGAGCCUUGGAAGUAGACAUACUCCUUAAGUGACUAGUAAUCUCAUCGAAGUUUGCAGUCAUGGGCGCAUGUGCAUAGUCCGCUCUACGCCAAUGGUUCCAUUGGUGGUGGCAGUUUGAACAACUGUAAACAAAUCAGGGUGCUCAAAGCAGGCAUUGUUAGAGGCUUCUGUCUCGAUUUUGCUUGAAUGAUUUAGCAUGGGAUUGUCCUAUAGCUGUGUUUGGUUCCUGUCUUCGGGCAGGCUACCUUGCACUGGCGCUCGUAACGUGAGCAAGGGAGAGGGCUCUGGAACUAUAGUGCUAGAGGUGAAAUUUAGAUACCGCUAUAUGUCUAUCUGAUGCGAAGGCUGUUAUAGUCCAGUACAUUUCAAUCGAUCAGGAACGAAAGUUAGGGGAUCGAAGAUGAUUAGAUACCGUCGUAGUCCUAACUAUAAACGAUACCAACAAGAGAUUGGCAGUGAAACCAUUUAUGAUCCUUUCAGAAUCCAAGGGAAACCUCAAGUUUUUGGGUUCUGGGGGAGUUAUAGUCGCAAGGCCGAAACUUAAAGSAAUUGACGGAAAGGCACCACCAGGAGUGGAGUUUGCGGCUUAAUUCGACUCAACGCGGGAAAACUCACCAGGUCAGGACAAAGUAAUGAUUGACAGGUUGAUAGUCUUUUCUCGAUUCUUUGGAUGGUGGUGCAUGGCCGUUCUUAGUUCGUGGAGUGAUUUGUCUUGUUAAUUCAGUUAACGAACGAGACCUUAACCUACUAAAUAUGCUAUAAGCUGGGUCUUCUGAUUCAGUUCGUUUCUUCGAGUGCCUCGUAUGGGGUGCUCUCUGAAACUUAUAAACUGGGAUGUUAUCUUCUGAUAUCCUCUCUGCUUCUUAGAGGAACAAUACUUCGUUUUUUUAGAGUAAGGAAGUUUAAGGCAAUAACAGGUCUGUAAUGCCCCUAGAUGUCCUGGGCAGCACGCGUACUACACUGUUAAUACUAACAAGCUGUACAAAGUAACCACUCUUGUGGCUACUAGCCUUCUCCUUAAAGGAGUGGGGAAUCUUUUCAAACAUUAACGUGACAGGGAUAGCUGUUUGGAAAUCCAUCUUGAACGAGGAAUUCCUAGUAAUCGCGAUUCAUCAUAUCGCAUUGAUUACGUCCCUGCCUUUUGUACACACCGCCCGUCGCUCCUACCGAUGGAAUGAGCAGGUGAAUUUGACGGACAGGGCUUUUUUGUCUUGGAAAUUAACUGAACCUUUUUAUUUGUAGGAAGGAGAAGUCGUAACAAGGUCUUCGUAGGUGAACCUGCAGARGGAUCAUGAUGAU